rnacentral:rRNA from 1 species
AUUGAACGCUGGCGGCAGGCCUAACACAUGCCAGUCGAGCGAGCGGCGGACGGGUGAGUAAUGUAUGGGGACUGCCCGAUAGAGGGGGAUAACUACUGGAAACGGUGGCUAAUACCGCAUACUAUCGGAUAACCCAUAUGGGAUUAGCUAGUAGGUGGGGUAAAGGCUCACCUAGGCGACGAUCUCUAGCUGGUCUGAGAGGAUGAUCAUCCACACUGGGACUGAGACACGGCCCAGACUCCGACGGAGGCAGCAGGGGGGAAUAUUGCACAAUGGGCGCAAGCCUGAUGCAGCCAUUCGGCGUGUAUGAAGAAGGCCUUAGGGUUGUAAAGUACUUUCAGCGGAGAGUCAUUACCCGCAGAAGAGGCACCGGCUAACUCCGUGCCAGCAGCCGCGGUAAUUC